rnacentral:rRNA from 1 species
CAGUGAUGCAGAGCAAAUCCCCAAAAGCAGUCUUAGUUCGGAUUGUAGGCUGCAACUCGCCUACAUGAAGUCGGAAUCGCUAGUAAUCGCGGAUCAGCAUGCCGCGGUGAAUACGUUCCCGGGCCUUGUACACACCGCCCGUCAAGCCAUGGGGAGCCGGGGGCACUUGAAGUACGCCGCCGCGAGGAGCGUCCUAGAGUGAAACUGGUGACUGGGGCUAAGUCGUAACAAGGUAUC